CACACACUCUCUCACACACUCUCUCUCACACAGUCACACUCACACACACACAUACACUCACACACACACUCACACAGGUCUGGGGAGGACAACCCGGGUAGUAACCAAACUCCGAUUUGGCAGGUGGGACUCCAAAUUCGGUUAUUAAAGGAAAUGACCGUCACUGUGCGGUCAGGGGUUGGAGGUCAAGCAUCCGGGAGACACACAUUUUGAAGGAUACAAGGUGGCACCAGAUUGAACUUCUUUUGAUUACACUUCUUUUAACGCCAGAUCAAGCUUCUCCCCAAUGGAAGAUCCUGCUCGGUUUUGUCAGCUCUUAUCUUUCAUGAAUAUUCAAUUCUUAAAGACGUAGGACAGGGAAGUGGGUGGGGGCCUAUUUUUAAAAGGCACCCCUUUCUGGGAGGGGGUGCAGCUGUCUCCUAGUUUCGAAGAGCGGAGUUGAGGCUGGAUUUCAGCCCUCCGUUCCUUUCUCGGAUGUGUGCCCCAGCACCACCUUACAUUUUAAAAAAGAAUGUUCUAGAACACAAGCGCCAUUGACCUAUCAUGACAUUAUUAGAGCAGAAGAAUUGGUGAACACUUACGAUACGCCAGGUACUAAUCUAAGCCCUCUGUUUAUUUGCUGGGAACCCUUUGAUCCUCACGCCAGCUUUUUUUUCAGAUGAGGAAACACUUUGCCAAGCUGACCCAGGAACUGCGGAGCCGAGUUGGCUCUCUUAACCCCUGCUGUCCUGCUAGACCUGGAAAGAUUCACUGCAGCAACAUGAGGCAGCGGGUCAGAGGAAGGCCCGAAGGGAAAGAACUGUGAGAAAAUUCAGCACGGCAAGGAGAAAAGGAAGUAGAGGACAGCCACGCACAAAUUCGAACCGAAGAAUUUGCUUGGACUCGGCCUGAUAUGAAUGGAAUUUCACCUACUCACAGGAGUUUCGCAAACACUCGAUCAUAUUCAUAUUCUCUCUCUCCCCACCUCCCUCCCCCCACCCAAGACUGAGAUGAACGGAAGGUUUGAAAUCAGAUAGCGGGCUGCUCUUAGAGAUGUAGAGAGGGAAUAUUAUUCUAAAUAUAAAACUGCUUAUAAAAUCCUUACAGCAAUUGUAAAAAAAAAAAAAGGAAACAUUAACAGCUCAAUCCCAGUUCAGUUUACAUUUCAUUAAACAAAAAUCUUUCAAACGUGAUAAUCACUCGAAGAAGCCCUUACUCAACAGAGUUGAGCAGAAUCAAACCUUCAGCAAAUAGGAAGGAAGCAGAUGGCUUCGAAUCCAUGAAAACCCCCCGAGCUCCAUAAUCGGGCUUAUUUUUGUACCAAACGGUGUCUGAACUCCGGGUAGCGCCUCUUAAACGGAAUGCCUGAAGCCAGCACGUGCUGACACGCCGCAGUCUGGCUCCGUCUUCGGCGCUUCGCACACCUUCAUACCUUGGGGGCCCACAACCCUGGGGUUCAGGUCCCUGUUUUCCAGUAAGAACAUAGGCUUAGAGAGAGAGAGAAAGGAGCUUGCUGGAGGUUACAAGUGACCAGGCACCCCCUCGAGAACAGCCCCCAGAUUUCAAACCUGGGCCUUCUGCACUCACACUCCGCUGCCUGACCUCUGACCUCCACUGAAGACAUGAACCCCGCCCCACAGAGAGGUUGGAGAGCUAUAAAGGCAAAAGGGAUGCCAGGUGCCAGCGGAGCCCGGCUCCACAUCUUCCCAUAAACCUGCUUUCUCUACUGGUGAGGACGAAGGAAGGUAAAUUCGUAGUCUGCUGUGUGAAGCACCAUCAUAUCACACCCUCCUGAGGCUUCCCAGGCCGGUUUCCAGUUCUUUCCUCCACCUGCUGCAUGGCUGAGCAACUUUUGACUGGUCGAUUCAUCAGGAGGCCCCGCCCCCAUCCUGCAGACGUCGGGGACUAAGAUGCAGAGGCAGAGGCACAUCCGCGCUCCGAGAGGUCUUGCCUCCCGCUAACCGUGCCAACUAUAUCGGAGCAUCUAGAUAGGCAAAGGUGGAGUCGGGGACGUGAAUCCUCCCCAGGACAGCAGAAUACAGUCAGUGGAGACCACUGCAAAAUAUAAACUGAGAAACAGAGGUAGAAGCAGAUUCUGUGGCCAGAAUGAACAGCUAGAAGAGUCAGCAGUGGUUAUCCCUAGGGAGGGCCAACUCAGUGGGACGCAUGUCACUUUUCAUCUCAAGAAUCUCUGCUUGCAAGUUUUGCCACGUCCACGCAGUUGAUAAAAAUUUAGCGAAAAACACCAACAGGGGGAAACAAAACCAUGUCCUCUCUAUCCAUUCCAUUCUUUUCCCUCCGGUUAGACACUUUUUCAAUAUUUCCAAAUACAGGGGCCGCCUGGAAAGUCGAGACUGGGAGUGACAAGCUCAAGCGUCACUCAGCGUUUCCAGUGUCCUCUUCUGUCCCUCGGUGGCUUUAUCUUGACGCAGUUCGUUUUCACAAUCAGAUCGUGGGUUCCUGAGGACACCUCUCUGGCUCACUUCCAAUGGCUUGCACAAGAACCUGGCACAGGUGGAUGGAUGCUCAAGGAAUAUUUGCUUUAUCAACACAGACCUUAUUGUCCCUCCGGAGAGCAGUUUCGCUCAGCCAACUGUGUCCCAGACCUCGAAAGCCAGCACAGAGACGCUCUCUUUAGUAUCAUUUUAAAGCAAAAUGCCCAGUGACCAUUUAGAUUUUCAAUACACAUUUAAGAAAGAGCUACCAGAAAAUGCUAUCGGAGAUGGCCCUUGACUUAAACGUAAGGUUUUUAACCUUAAGCGUAUCUUCCACUUCACUCAUUCACUCAUCAAUUUGUCCUUGGCAGAUCCUAUUACGUGCAAAGUAUAUAAAUGUGUGUAAUUUUGUAAAUCACGCUCCUGUCCUCCACAAGUUUAUAAACUGCCCUGAAAUGUGGAAGUUAAUGUCAUUACGUAAAUACAGAAUUUAUGCUGUAGAAAAAUCCGUGGAGAGUAUGCAGGCGCCUCCGCCUUGAUAAAAUUCAUGGGCUUGCGGAAACUUAGCUGGAAGUCGAAUGUUUCUGUUUGUCAGAUAAAUCACAUUCCCCCAUUGCUUACUGCUGCCAUCGCCGAGAUUUCUCUCCCGCAUUUCUGAUUGAUGCUGAGUCAACGACAGCUCCUGGGAUUCCAGCUCUAAGUUCCCUGCCAGCCCCAAGCUCUCCUUUUGCAGUUAACAAUCUGUGAACAAUGUGUCUUUCAGGAAGGAAUCUUUGCGAAGGCCAGAGGGCCUCUGAGAAAGAAGAUGGUCACUGGCCACAGGUCUGUUUGGUGUUAAGGAAGCGCUGAAGCCCCUGGCUUUGGAGCAGGCCAUCGGGACCGGCGGAUUCUCAGGCUAUUUCGAGUUUCCCAGGAGCCAGGUUAGGAUGGUGGGGGAAGAACAGGCAGAGGCUAAAUGAUCUGUGAACCCUAAAGACUCUAUCAUUCGAGAGAGAGUUAUUGAGGACUUGCUCAGCCCUUUGGAAAACUCCACGGCUGACCUUCCUUUCCGGGUCAUUUCUGGGAAGUGAACUCUGCUGUUGAAAGUCUAGCUUCAGGGAGACACGUGAACAUGUCGUUAGAACGGCUGCGUCCUGAUCUGUGAUUGAAGGAAGCGUAAUACUCAGGAGCAGCUCACAAGACAGAAUGAACGAUUCUGUUUGUGUAGGCUGGGAAAAGCGCGGGUGAUGAGGGCUGCCCGGGGGGUUGACGGAUGGGUAGAAGUUUGUCAGGUACAUAAGGUGGAAGAAGAUUCUAAACAGACUGUAAAAAUGAAGAUGUUUGUUAUCACAUGGAGUUUUAAGGAAUAUGUAUUGUCAAUCACCAGAUCUACACAUAUACCUGCCUCUGAGUCCAUUUUAUUUUAUUUUUAAUUCUCCUUCUAAGGUGGAGCAAGUAACUCUUAGGAAAAACUGACAUUUUUCUGAUAGUGAGUUUUUCAUCAUUAAUAUGGUAUAGCUAUCCACUCAUUUCGAUUUUAUUGUCUUUUAGUAAAUUUUUUUUUUCCCCAUAACGACCUUACACAUGCUUAGAUAACUUCUGUUUUGAGUUGUUGUUGCUGCUAUUGUUGUUAUAGAUGUUAACUUUAAAAAUUAUUAUUUCUAUUUGGGCUGCAUAGAAAAAAUGCAAUGGACUUUUAUAUAUCGAUCUUAUAUCGAGCUCCCUUGCUAAAUUGUCUUCAUUCCAGUGAUUAGAAAAUGAGGUUCAAUUUCCCAUGUAGACGACCACGUCAUCUAUAAAUAAUGACCGAUUUGUUUCUUCCUUUAAUAUUCACGUACCUUCUAUUCAUUCUUCUCGUUUAGUUUCACUGAUUAUGACCUCCAGGGAAUUAUAUGAUAUGAGCAGGCAUCUUUGUCUUAUUCCUGAUUGUAAAGGGUCCUAUUUAUUCCCACGUCCACACUCAUUGUCCUGAAACCACCCUUGUUAAGGCCACCAAUGACUUCUCCAUUACUGAAUUCAAAACACGAUUUAAAACACUUUUUUUUUGUUUGUUUUUUACCUCAGUUGCACUGACGUUAUUGAUCACCUCUCUUCUCGAAACGCUGCCUUCUUUAGGCUCCCCAAACACCCCACCCUCCUGCCAUGGUCUCUGCGUGCCCCUUCUCAGACAGUCUUUUCUUAAUAUCUGUCUGUCCUCUGGGGUUGAAUCUCCCCUGGGCCUCUUCCCUCAAUAUACUCUUUAUUGACGUCAUCCAUUCCGUGCCUGUAGAUGCCAUCUGAAUGACACACGCACGCACGCACACGCCCGCCAACUUGGCGUUUUGCUUUGAGGUCACAUAUGCGCCUCAAACUUAACACGUUCAACACUCAACUCUUCAUCCCCCCUACUCUGAUGUAAUCCUCCUGUGGUCUUCCCAUCUCAGUGAACGGCACCUUCGGCCACUCAGUCACUUGGAACAGAAACCGGGCGUCAUCUGCUCCCUCUUCCAUCCCCCACCCCCAACCUCUAACUAGGUUAUUUAUUCUUGCUCCCAGAAACACAGUGGUCCCCCCUUAUCUGUCGUUUCACUUUGCAUAGUUUCAGUUGCCCACGGGCAACUGUGGUCCAAAAAUAUUCAAUGGAAAAUUGUAGAAAGAAACAAUUCACGCAUUUUAAAUCGCACGCCAUUCUGAGUCGCGUGAUGAAAUCUCAUGCCGUCCUGCUCCGUCCUGCCUGGGACGCGAAUCGUCCUUCUGUCCCCUGUACCUGCACUGUGUACGCUACCCGCCUAUUAGUCACUCAGCAGCCAUCUCAGGUAUCGGAUCGACUGUCGUGGUGUCAUAGUGCUUCUGUUCAAGUGACCCUUAUUUGACCGAAUAAUGACCUCGAAGUGCAAGGGUCAUGAUGCUGGCAAUUCAGAUGUACCCAACCGAAGCCGCGAAGUGCGCCCUCUCAGAGAAAGGUGCGUAGGGUGCAGUGAGAAACGACUGUGAGAGCGGGGCCAGCUUCGCAUAACUCGUGUCCAGCACAUUGUUAUCACUGUUCUAUUUUAUUAUUAGUUAUUGCCGUUAAUCUCUUACUGUGCUUCAUCUAUAAAUUAAACUUUAUCAUAGGUACGUAUAGGCAUGUCUAUCAGAUUCAAAUCUUUCCACGGUUUCGGGCGUCCACCAGGGGCCUUGGAUGCAUCUCCCGUGGACAAGGGGCGCAGCCGUAUCUCUAAUUCCUUUUCUUCUUCAUAUCUUUUUAGUCUAAGCACCGUCCCUUCUUGCCGGACACACAGCGACAGUCUUCCGACUGGUGUCCUUAAACUCUUGUUCCAUUACAAUCCCUUUGGCAAAGCAGUUAAAAUGAUAUUUUAGAAAUACAAAGAAGAUCAUGUUACUUUUUACUGUCCCUUCCGCGACCUCUCAUCGCACUAUGCAAAAAAUCCAAAACCUUGGCGUGGCCUGCAGCGAUCUGAAUGCUAUGACGCCUUUCUACUCCCGCCUUAUCGUGUGCUGCUAAUCUCUUCACUCACUGCCCUCCGGCCACUUGGAUGUCCUUGGAGUGCUCUGAGAGGCCUAGUUUUCCCUGCCUAAGAGCUUUUCACCAAACACUGCAAGAGGGCAGGGACUGUAUCUUUCUUAGUCUCAGUUACAUACCCAGAUCCAAUAGUCAAUAGUCAAUAAAUAUUUAGUACAUAAAUGAA